rnacentral:rRNA from 1 species
AGCGAACGCUGGCGGCAGGCCUAACACAUGCAAGUCGAACGAACCUUUCGGGGUUAGUGGCGGACGGGUGAGUAACACGUGGGAACGUGCCUUUAGGUUCGGAAUAACUCAGGGAAACUUGUGCUAAUACCGAAUGUGCCCUUCGGGGGAAAGAUUAAUCGCCUUUAGAGCGGCCCGCGUCUGAUUAGCUAGUUGGUUGAGGUAAUGGCUCACCAAGGCGACGAUCAGUAGCUGGUCUGAGAGGAUGAUCAGCCACAUUGGGACUGAGACACGGCCCAAACUCCUACGGGAGGCAGCAGUGGGGAAUCUUGCGCAAUGGGCGAAAGCCUGACGCAGCCAUGCCGCGUGAAUGAUGAAGGUCUUAGGAUUGUAAAAUUCUUUCACCGGGGACGAUAAUGACGGUACCCGGAGAAGAAGCCCCGGCGAACUUCG